GCGACCCCAGGAUGGGCGAGUCCACCCGCUGAGUUUAAG
rnacentral:rRNA from 1 species